CAAAAGUGGUACUUUCAAAAUUAAGCCCACUAAUUGCUUUUUAAUUAAAUAAAAAGUCUGUUAUCUAAAGUGUUGGAAUUUUCAACGAUUUGUCUGGGUUUCUAAUCGAAACAGUUCUAAUUCAAUAGAAGGCUUCAUUAGAAGACAUUAUUGGCUCAAAAACCUGCUUUUUUAUAUUUGAUUAGAGGAAAGUUCCCAGAUUAAAAUUAACAGAAAUUCAGAGGUUUAUUUUUUAUCUUGAUUUCAAACACGGAAUAAAGAGCAUUGUGAAUUUCACAUUUAUGAUUGGUUGGAUUUCAUAAACAAGGAAAGUGACCUUUGUUUUAAAUUGAAAUUAGCGGGAAAAAUACAGAAACCAGUGCCGGUUCAAAAAUGGAGAACGUACAAAGUCCAGCUGAACAGUUAUAUCACCAGACCGUUAUGGAGUUCAUGAGUGGAUUACCUUGCCAUGACCCUAAAAACUUUUCUUUAUGUGAUAAAACUAAAGGAUUCAUACAGCAGAGGCCGGUCGAUAUGUUGCAAAUCUGCACUGAAGAGAUCACGCCUGCACAGCGUAUUGUACUGGAACCGACUAAUUGUGUUCGUAACGAGAUAAAAAAGAAGAAAAAGAGGAAAAAGAAAAAGACUUAUACUAAUGCUCAUCCAUCUUUAUUCUAUCCAUCGAGAGUACUUAAGAACAAACGUGUUCAAAGAAUGUAAAAUAUUUAUUUACAAUGAAAAUUUUAUUUAAAGUGUAUCUUAUUAAUACAAUUCAACAUGUUAAAUGUUAAAAUUAUAAGCAAUUUAUUUCUAUAGUCAAUAAAGAUUACGUGAUAUAAUA